rnacentral:rRNA from 1 species
CGGGGGGGGGUGCUAUACAUGCAAGUCGAGCGCGGGAAGCGAGUGGAUCCCUUCGGGGUGAAGCUCGUGGAACGAGCGGCGGACGGGUGAGUAACACGUGGGCAACCUGCCUGUAAGAUCGGAAUAACCCCGGGAAACCGGGGCUAAUGCCGGGUAAUACUUUCUUUCGCAUGAAGGAAAGUUGAAAGAUGGCUUCUUGCUAUCACUUACAGAUGGGCCCGCGGCGCAUUAGCUAGUUGGUGAGGUAACGGCUCACCAAGGCGACGAUGCGUAGCCGACCUGAGAGGGUGAUCGGCCACACUGGGACUGAGACACGGCCCAGACUCCUACGGGAGGCAGCAGUAGGGAAUCUUCCGCAAUGGACGAAAGUCUGACGGAGCAACGCCGCGUGAACGAUGAAGGUCUUCGGAUCGUAAAGUUCUGUUGUUAGGGAAGAACAAGUACCGUGCGAAUAGAGCGGUACCUUGACGGUACCUAACGAGGAAGCCCCGGCUAACUACGUGCCAGCAGCCGCGGUAAUACGUAGGGGGCAAGCGUUGUCCGGAAUUAUUGGGCGUAAAGCGCGCGCAGGCGGUUCCUUAAGUCUGAUGUGAAAGCCCACGGCUCAACCGUGGAGGGUCAUUGGAAACUGGGGAACUUGAGGACAGAAGAGGAGAGUGGAAUUCCACGUGUAGCGGUGAAAUGCGUAGAUAUGUGGAGGAACACCAGUGGCGAAGGCGACUCUCUGGUCUGUUUCUGACGCUGAGGUGCGAAAGCGUGGGUAGCAAACAGGAUUAGAUACCCUGGUAGUCCACGCCGUA